AAUUUCUUCGGAAUGACGAUUUAGUGACUGAGUGGCGGACGGGUGAGUAACGCGUGGGUAACCUGCCUUAUACAGGGGGAUAACAGUUAGAAAUGACUGCUAAUACCGCAUAAGCGCACAGUUCCGCAUGGAACAGUGUGAAAAACUCCGGUGGUGUGAGAUGGACCCGCGUCUGAUUAGCCAGUUGGCGGGGUAACGGCCCACCAAGGCGACGAUCCAUAGCCGGCCUGAGAGGGUGAACGGCCACAUUGGGACUGAGACACGACCCAGACUCC
rnacentral:rRNA from 1 species